rnacentral:piRNA from 1 species
UACCAUGGCUCACUCCCUUCUGAAUC